GUGAGGAAUAUUGCACAAUGGGGGCAACCCUGAUGCAGCAACGCCGCGUGGAGGAUGAAGGUCUUUGGAUUGUAAACUCCUUUUCUGCGGGAAGAGGAAGGACGGUACCGCAGGAAUAAGUCACGGCUAACUACGUGCCAGCAGCCGCGGUAAUACGUAGGUGGCGAGCGUUAUCCGGAAUUACUGGGCGUAAAGCGCACGCAGGCGGCGAGACAAGUCUGACGUGAAAUCUCUUGGCUUAACCGGGAGGGGUCGUUGGAAACUGUCUGGCUUGAGGCGAUGAGAGGGACAUGGAAUUCCCGGUGUAGUGGUGGAAUGCGUAGAUAUCGGGAGGAACACCAGAGGCGAAAGCGGUGUCCUGGCAUUGGCCUGACGCUCAUGUGCGAAAGCGUGGGGAGCGAACGGGAUUAGAUACCCGAGUAGUCC
rnacentral:rRNA from 1 species